GCUGUGUACUGGACGGAGGACGCGCGAUCUUUUGUCUUUUUGGAGUUUUAUAUAACACAGUAAGGUAAAGAAGCAACAUGCAUGACGGGGAUGAUAAAAUAAUCAAUAAGAAGUUUGAAUCUUUAAAAAUAAAUGAAUGCUGAACCCCAAAGAAGCCAACCAAAGAUGAGAUAUUUUCUGUACCAAACCACAAAUCACCAUUUGCUGGUAAUCAUAACAGAUAGCCAAAAGUCAUGUACCACACUUUGUCAACAAUAAAUGUUGUUUCUGCAAUCUGGAUAAAGAAUAAUAUAUUACUGCCUCUUGGAGAACAGCCGACCGUACUCCAGACAGAGACAAAGACGUGAGGACAUCCAUUGCUUUUAAGUCAUGUACCACACUUUGUCAACAAUGAAUGUUGUUCCUGCAAUCUGGAUGAAGAAUAAUAUAUUACUGCCUCUUGGGAAAACAGCAGACUGUACUCCAGACCGAGACAAAGAGAUGAGGACAUCCAUUGCUUUUAAGUCCUAUACUAGACUAUGUUGUUCCAGCUGUCUGGGUAAAGACUGAUACAUUACUACCUCUUGGAGAACAGCAAACCAUUCUCCAGACAGAGACAAAGAUAUGGACAUCAAAACAGAAAAUAAAGUACUUGAUCUUGGAUUGAUUGGGGUGAGCGCUGGCAAAUAAUGAAGCAGGAAAUGAAAAUGGUAAUAAAAUUUAGAAAUCCUUCUGGAACUCUGAAAUCUGCAAACAUAUCUUUUCCCAUUUAAAGAACUUAAAAGUAUCAGUUCUUGGACUGGCAGUGUGUACUAUGUCAUUUUUGUCCUUACUCUUAUGCAUUUUAUGUAAAUGUAUUUUCUAACUGUAUUUUAUGCUCUUAUUCUGUAGGCUGUAAGAAGUACUUUGUGUGCACAGACAUGACUGGAGAUUAAAGUUACUAAAUGUUGCUUUUUUUCUAGCUGGUGACAUAACAUUGUAUUAUUUUCAAAUGUAUUUAUCUAACACACAUUUACACAUCUGUAAACAUUCAUUUUAUAUUGCAUGUUUUUUAUAUUUAACCAAUUGUUGUAUAUUGCUUUCUGUUAUUACAUCUGUUUUUUAUUGCAUGUUUAUUGUUUAAAACAAUUAAGUUAAUGUUUUCUGUUAGCUUUUGUUACUUUGGCUAUUUCUUUGCUUUUAUUUGAUCCUUCUACUGUUAUUUGUUUA